rnacentral:rRNA from 1 species
CCGACGGUGAGAGGCGAAAGCUGGGGGAGCAAACCGGAUUAGAUACCCGGGUAGUCCCAGCUGUAAACGAUGCGCGUUAGGUGUGUCGGUGACCACGAGUCACCGAGGUGCCGAAGAGAAAUCGUGAAACGUACCGCCUGGGAAGUACGGUCGCAAGGCUGAAACUUAAAGGAAUUGGCGGGGGAGCACCACAACAGGUGGAGCCUGCGGUUUAAUCGGACUCAACGCCGGAAAACUCACCAGAUAA